AAACCCUUUAACUAUAGUCCCGUGAGGCUAAGAAGGACAGCGAAAAUGUCAUCGGAUUUUGUAUCGAUCCGUAUGUGUACAGAUUUAUUCUGCCCUCUUGUCUCUUCAUGACAAGAGGGUUUUUGUU
rfam:Bacillus alcalophilus ATCC 27647 = CGMCC 1.3604 strain AV1934 contig00022, whole genome shotgun sequence.